rnacentral:rRNA from 1 species
CACGUAGGAUCCAAGCGUUAUCCGGAUUUACUGGGCGUAAAGCGUGUGUAGGUGGUUUGCUAAGUUGGGUGUUAAAUCUCUCGGCUCAACUGAGAGGUGUCGCUCAAAACUAGUAGACUGGAGGACGGUAGAGGAAGGUAGAAUUCCGGGUGUAGUGGUGAAAUGCGUAGAUAUCCGGAGGAAUACCAGUGGCGAAGGCGGCCUUCUGGACCGUUCCUGACACUCAGACACGAAAGCUAGGGGAGCAAACGGGAUUAGAACCU